rnacentral:pre_miRNA from 1 species
AUCUAAAAUCUGGAAUUCACGUGCUCACUUGUCCUCCUCCAUGUUUGAAAGAUACAGGGAGGAGGCCAUAGUGGCAACUGUCACCAUGAUUGAUUUUCUUGG